rnacentral:rRNA from 1 species
GAUAAACGCUGGCGGCGUGCCUUACGCAUGCAAGUCGAACGGUCCGUCUUCGGACGGACAGUGGCGAUCGGGUGAGUAACACGUAAGUGACCUGCCCGGAAGUGGGGGACAACCCCGCGAAAGUGGGGCUAAUACCGCAUGUGGCCGGUCCCGGCCUGCCGGGGCCGGUCAAAGCCUUCGGGCGCUUUCGGAGGGGCUUGCGGCCGAUUAGCUAGUUGGCAGGGUAACGGCCUACCAAGGCGAUGAUCGGUAGCUGGUCUGAGAGGACGGCCAGCCACACGGGGACUGAGACACGGCCCCGACUCCUACGGGAGGCAGCAGCGAGGAAUCUUGCGCAAUGGGCGAAAGCCUGACGCAGCAACGCCGCGUGGGGGAAGAAGGCCUUCGGGUUGUAAACCCCUUUUGCAGGGGAAGAACUCUGACGGUACCCUGCGAAUAAGCACCGGCUAACUCUGUGCCAGCAGCCGCCGCGGUAA